CCCUAGUUUAGUAGCAAGACAAAAGAAGUUAUUUGCUAUGAGAUUAAAUAGAGAGUUUAAGCCAGAGACUAAUGCAGAACACCUACUGGAAAAGGAAAGGAAAGAGAGAGGAAGAUAAGAAUUUAUGAAAGAUCCUAAAAUAUAAACAGGAGCCCCAGCAGAUAACUUAGAAGGGUGGAAGGAAAAUUAUUUUUUCCUCCCUUACAAGGUGUUGUGGGUGGCCAAGAAAUGAGGAACAGCGUAGUGUUCAUCUACAAGGAAAUGAAGUCUCUGAACCUCAUCUUUGGACACAAUGUUCCAACCAGUUGUCUUAACCAAGUGCCUUGAAAAGAGAACAAGGUACCCUACGGGUGGUGUUGAGGCUGGUCCCCAACAUUGGUGGAAGAAGCACCUUUAUGGACCAGACAGCCAUGUACUCGGUCAGCCCCACUGCAGAUACGCCGGAAGGAGGUCCAAAAGCCGUUUUCAGGG